rnacentral:miRNA from 1 species
GAGUGGGCUGAUGUGUUGGGCUGUGCUCUAAUGACAUGGUCAAAAAAAAAAACUCCCCCCCUC